CAGGGCCACCGCGGUGCCGAAGGUCUCAGCCCCGAGCGGACGCAGCCCCGGGGGCCACCCGCCAGCAGGGUGGGAGCAGCCAGGGCUCGAGGCGGCGGGCGCCAUCGCCAACUCGACAGCGCGUCCCAGUACCUUGCUCGGGCUCCUUUCUGCUCCAGGAAGAAAACGGAGGAACCCACAGCGGGGGAGGGGCCGGGAAGGCGCCCCCGGCCUCUCAGCAGCUUGGGAAUUCACUCACCUUGGCGCCCCAAGACCUGGAGGAACCGACAGCUGGUUGGUAGAAAACUCAUCCGAGGGGAGCGAAGAGACAAAAGUAAACUAUGAAAUCUGGAAUCAUGUUUUCAGAAUAGAGCUCUGAGUUGGAACCAGUCUGCCAACAGAGUGAAUUCCUGCCUUCCUGCAUAGCUGGUACGUUUAGCUCUGGAAUGGGACAGUGGGAGGGCAUAGGUCAAAGCAGGCACCGCCACUGUGUUUAGGGGCAUGUUUACUGAAUCGUUGGCCCUUGCUUUUGCAUCACAAAUGAUAACCAAUUGGAAAUGAACACGUUUAUUUUUUGAAGUACCACCUUUCAGGAGCUUACUUACUGUACUCAGAUGAAAUGUUUAGGCACACAUACUGCCAAUAGCAGCAUUUGCUGUGUGUGCUACUCAGGAAGCUGUGGUUUAAAGGUAGUUGCAGUUGAUAAGUUCAUGAGACUACACCUCCACAUGACAAGCAAAAAGCAGACCUAGAGACAUGGUUCAAGUGGCAGAGUGCCGGCUGAACAAGCAAGCUGAGCGUCCACAGGCCCUGAGUUCAAAUUCCAGCACAACAACAACAACAGCAAUAAUAAUUCAACUCUCAAUACAUUUUUGUAUAUGUACAAAUAUAAACAAAAUUAUGACUAAAUUCUAAUAAUAUAUGUUCACAUAUGCUCUUUUCGUACACAUGGUCUAUUUUGGAAUAAAUAAACGGGAGUGGUAUUAUAUGGAAAAUGAUGUGAAAUAUAUACUAUUUAAAGAAUAAAAAGCAGAGACCCUUGUAUAUACCAUUUAAGUUGAGAGACAGAACAUGAUGUGAAGCUCAGCGUCUCUCCUGGCUUGCAUCGUUUGCCCAAGCCCUACCAUUUCCCUUUUUAUUUUCUCCUUAUAAAUGGCCCCUAAAUAACAUAAUUACUUAACUGUGUGAAAAGCACAAAAGAGACAAAUGGAGAAUGCUCAGUCUCCCUGAGCACCACCGAGAGCCCCUGCAGAUCAGCAGUGGGUCCUAGGACGUGAAGGCAGAGGGCUGUUCCGUCCUCC